GACGAACGCUGGCGGCGUGCUUAACACAUGCAAGUCGAACGAUGUGGCGAACGCGUGAGUAAUACGUGGGUAACCUGCCCUCCUUUUUGGGAUCAGCCUUGGCAACGGGGUCUAAUACCGAAUAACGGGGGAUGUCCUCGGGGCCUAUCAGGUAGUUGGUGGGGUGUUGGCCUACCAAGUCGGUGCCGGGCAGCCGGCCGGAGCGGGUGACCGGGCACAUUGGGAGUGAGAUACGGCCGAGACUCCUACGGGAGGCGGCAGUGGGGGAUAUUGCACAAUGGGGGAAAGCCUGAUGCAGGGACGCCGAGUGGGGGAUGAAGGCGUGCGUGUUGGAAGCCUCUGUCGCUAGCGAACGGGUAGGUGGAGAAGAAGCGCCGGCUAACUACGUGCCAGCAGCCGCGGUAAUAC
rnacentral:rRNA from 1 species